GACGAACGCUGGCCCCGUGCUUAACACAUGCAAGUCGAACGGAAAGGCCCUGCUUUUGUGGGGUGCUCGAGUGGCGAACGGGUGAGUAACACGUGAGUAACCUGCCCUUGACUUUGGGAUAACUUCAGGAAACUGGGGCUAAUACCGGAUAGGAGCUCCUGCUGCAUGGUGGGGGUUGGAAAGUUUCGGCGGUUGGGGAUGGACUCGCGGCUUAUCAGCUUGUUGGUGGGGUAGUGGCUUACCAAGGCUUUGACGGGUAGCCGGCCUGAGAGGGUGACCGGCCACAUUGGGACUGAGAUACGGCCCAGACUCCUACGGGAGGCAGCAGUGGGGAAUAUUGCACAAUGGGCGGAAGCCUGAUGCAGCAACGCCGCGUGCGGGAUGACGGCCUUCGGGUUGUAAACCGCUUUCGCCUGUGACGAAGCGUGAGUGACGGUAAUGGGUAAAGAAGCACCGGCUAACUACGUGCCAGCAGCCGCGGUGAUACGUAGGGUGCGAGCGUUGUCCGGAUUUAUUGGGCGUAAAGGGCUCGUAGGUGGUUGAUCGCGUCGGAAGUGUAAUCUUGGGGCUUAACCCUGAGCGUGCUUUCGAUACGGGUUGACUUGAGGAAGGUAGGGGAGAAUGGAAUUCCUGGUGGAGCGGUGGAAUGCGCAGAUAUCAGGAGGAACACCAGUGGCGAAGGCGGUUCUCUGGGCCUUUCCUGACGCUGAGGAGCGAAAGCGUGGGGAGCGAACAGGCUUAGAUACCCUGGUAGUCCACGCUGUAAACGGUGGGUACUAGGUGUGGGGUCCAUUCCACGGGUUCCGUGCCGUAGCUAACGCUUUAAGUACCCCGCCUGGGGAGUACGGCCGCAAGGCUAAAACUCAAAGGAAUUGACGGGGCCCCGCACAAGCGGCGGAGCAUGCGGAUUAAUUCGAUGCAACGCGUAGAACCUUACCUGGGUUUGACAUGGAUCGGGAGUGCUCAGAGAUGGGUGUGCCUCUUUUGGGGUCGGUUCACAGGUGGUGCAUGGCUGUCGUCAGCUCGUGUCGUGAGAUGUUGGGUUAAGUCCCGCAACGAGCGCAACCCUUGUUCACUGUUGCCAGCACGUUAUGGUGGGGACUCAGUGGAGACCGCCGGGGCCAACUCGGAGGAAGGUGGGGAUGACGUCAAGUCAUCAUGCCCCUUAUGUCCAGGGCUUCACGCAUGCUACAAUGGCUGGUACAGAGAGUGGCGAGCCUGUGAGGGUGAGCGAAUCUCGGAAAGCCGGUCUCAGUUCGGAUUGGGGUCUGCAACUCGACCUCAUGAAGUCGGAGUCGCUAGUAAUCGCAGAUCAGCAACGCUGCGGUGAAUACGUUCCCGGGGCU
rnacentral:rRNA from 1 species